rnacentral:rRNA from 1 species
GUGGGGAAUAUUGGACAAUGGGCGAAAGCCUGAUCCAGCCAUGCCGCGUGUGUGAAGAAGGUCUUCGGAUUGUAAAGCACUUUAAGUUGGGAGGAAGGGCAUUAACCUAAUACGUUAGUGUUUUGACGUUACCGACAGAAUAAGCACCGGCUAACUUCGUGCCAGCAGCCGCGGUAAUACGAAGGGUGCAAGCGUUAAUCGGAAUUACUGGGCGUAAAGCGCGCGUAGGUGGUUCGUUAAGUUGGCUGUGAAAGCCCCGGGCUCAACCUGGGAACUGCAUCCAAAACUGGCGAGCUAGAGUACGGUAGAGGGUGGUGGAAUUUCCUGUGUAGCGGUGAAAUGCGUAGAUAUAGGAAGGAACACCAGUGGCGAAGGCGACCACCUGGACUGAUACUGACACUGAGGUGCGAAAGCGUGGGGAGCAAACAGGAUUAGAUACCCUUGUAGUCC